rnacentral:tRNA from 1 species
GCCGGAGUGGCGAAAUGGCAGACGCAGGAGACUUAAAAUCUCCCGCCGCAAGGCGUACGGGUUCGAGUCCCGUCUCCGGCACCA